UGUGUAGGUGGCCAUGUAAGUCAGGUGUGAAAGCCCCGGGCUCAACCCGGGAAGUGCAUUUGAUACUGCGUGGCUUGAGUACCGAAGAGGGUAGUGGAAUUCCAGGUGUAGUGGUGAAAUACGUGGAUAUCUGGAGGUACACCGGUGGCGAAGGCGGCUACCUGGUCGAGUACUGACACUGAGACACGAAAGCAUGGGGAUCAAACA
rnacentral:rRNA from 1 species